UUGGAAGUAAAAGUCGUAACAAGGUUUCCGUAGGUGAACCUGCGGAAGGAUCAUUAAUUAUGUUAAAGCGCCUUACCUUAGGGUUUCCUCUGGGGUAAGUGAUUGCUUCUACACUGUGAAAAUUUGGCUGAGAGACUCAGACUGGUCAUGGGUAGACCUAUCUGGGGUUUGAUCGAUGCCACUCCUGGUUUCAGGAGUACCCUUCAUAAUAAACCUAGAAAUUCAGUAUUAUAAAGUUUAAUAAAAAACAACUUUUAACAAUGGAUCUCUUGGUUCUCGCAUCGAUGAAGAACGUAGCAAAGUGCGAUAACUAGUGUGAAUUGCAUAUUCAGUGAAUCAUCGAGUCUUUGAACGCAGCUUGCACUCUAUGGUUUUUCUAUAGAGUACGCCUGCUUCAGUAUCAUCACAAACCCACACAUAACAUUUGUUUAUGUGGUGAUGGGUCGCAUCGCUGUUUUAUUACAGUGAGCACCUAAAAUGUGUGUGAUUUUCUGUCUGGCUUGCUAGGCAGGAAUAUUACGCUGGUCUCAGGAUCUUUUUUUUGGUUCGCCCAGGAAGUAAAGUACAAGAGUAUAAUCCAGUAACUUUCAAACUAUGAUCUGAAGUCAGGUGGGAUUACCCGCUGAACUUAAGCAUAUCAAUAAGCGGAGGAA
rnacentral:rRNA from 1 species